AAAGAUGUGCGUAAGAAGUUACGCGAUAGAAGUGAAACUUCCUAAGAGUGCAUACGGUAGUGGCCUGUUUUUUUUUACUUCAAGAUGACAAUUUUUCCAUUUUUCUUUUGCACACUUCUUUAUACAAGUUUGCUUGUCACUAGAAUUCUCGCUGUGUAAUUGAAAACUGUCGUCGUGUGAAGAGCAAAUAGAUCUUACAAGACAUAGAAAACCAAACACACUAUAUGUACAUACUAUACAAAUAAACAUAUAGAAUAUGUACAUAUACAUACACACAUACAUACAUACAUACAUACGACAUAUGUACAUGCAUACAUACAUAUGCUUAAACACAGAGCGUGCGAAGUUUCACUUGCACAAAUUAAGCACUCAACUAAUCCAUUCUUAUACAUAUGUACAUACAAACGUACAUACAUACAUACAUACAUUCAUACAUACAUGUUAAAAUGACGCGCAAAACAAACACGUGAGGAACAUGCGAUAACGUAACGAGAAGCAAGCCAAGCUUAGAGCUUUUGACUCAGAGUAGAAAGAGCAGCUUAGAGCUUUGCAUACACAUACAUAUGUAUGUAUGUACAUGUGUCUCUCUUUUAUGGUGUCGGUUUUUCGUAACACACGCGGUCAAGCGUAUUUUCGAUUCACUCCCAACGCGCCUAUAGAAGUUUCACUUCAAAAAAA